CAUCCAUCAUCCAUCAUCCAUCCAUCAUCCAUCAUCCAUCCAUCCAUCAUCCAUCAUCCAUCCAUCAUCCAUCAUCCAUCCAUCCAUCAUCCAUCAUCCAUCCAUCAUCCAUCAUCCAUCCAUCCAUCAUCCAUCAUCCAUCCAUCAUCCAUCAUCCAUCCAUCCAUCAUCCAUCCAUCAUCCAUCCAUCCAUCAUCCAUCCAUCCAUCCAUCCAUCCAUCCGUCCCAGCAUCCCAAAAUAGAAAGGACUGGGAAUUGCCCUCCUCUCAUUUCGGCUCCCAUUUUCCAUCCUCACCCGCUGCUUCCCGUUGUGCUUGGGUUGCGCCUUGGUGGGAAUCGCUCCUGACUGGGAUCCCAAACCCCCAUCCCCACCCACGGAGAUCCCAGGAAUAUCAUCACCACCCACUCUGGCACUCCCACAUUCCCAAAAAAUGCCAGAGCUCAUUCUCCCAGAAUUUAUCUGCUCAACACGACAAUCCUGAUCCCGCUGUGCCACUCCAGGGCCAGGGCCGUGUUUGGGGUUUUUAGCGGUGUUUGUUUUGGGCUGCCCUGCCCUGGAACUGACCCCAUCCAUCCAUCCAUCCAUCCAUCCAUCCAUCCAUCCAUCCAUCCAUCCAUCCAUCCAUCCAUCCAUCCAUCCAUCAUCAUCCAUCCAUCCAUCAUCCAUCAUCCAUCAUCCAUCCAUCCAUCAUCCAUCAUCCAUCAUCCAUCCAUCCAUCAUCCAUCAUCCAUCAUCCAUCCAUCCAUCAUCCAUCAUCCAUCAUCCAUCCAUCCAUCAUCCAUCAUCCAUCAUCCAUCCAUCCAUCAUCCAUCAUCCAUCAUCCAUCCAUCCAUCAUCCAUCAUCCAUCAUCCAUCCAUCCAUCAUCCAUCAUCCAUCAUCCAUCCAUCCAUCAUCCAUCAUCCAUCAUCCAUCCAUCCAUCAUCCAUCAUCCAUCAUCCAUCCAUCCAUCAUCCAUCAUCCAUCAUCCAUCCAUCCAUCAUCCAUCAUCCAUCAUCCAUCCAUCCAUCAUCCAUCAUCCAUCAUCCAUCCAUCCAUCAUCCAUCAUCCAUCAUCCAUCCAUCCAUCAUCCAUCAUCCAUCAUCCAUCCAUCCAUCAUCCAUCAUCCAUCAUCCAUCCAUCCAUCAUCCAUCAUCCAUCAUCCAUCCAUCCAUCAUCCAUCAUCCAUCAUCCAUCCAUCCAUCAUCCAUCAUCCAUCAUCCAUCCAUCCAUCAUCCAUCAUCCAUCAUCCAUCCAUCCAUCAUCCAUCAUCCAUCAUCCAUCCAUCCAUCAUCCAUCAUCCAUCAUCCAUCCAUCCAUCAUCCAUCAUCCAUCAUCCAUCCAUCCAUCAUCCAUCAUCCAUCAUCCAUCCAUCCAUCAUCCAUCCAUCCCAUCCAUCCAUCCAUCAUCCAUCAUCCAUCCAUCCAUCAUCCAUCCAUCAUCCAUCAUCCAUCCAUCCAUCAUCCAUCCAUCAUCCAUCAUCCAUCCAUCCAUCAUCCAUCCAUCAUCCAUCAUCCAUCCAUCCAUCAAUCCAUCCAUCCAUCAUCCCAGCAUCCCAAAAUGGAAAGGACAGGGAAUUGCCCUCCUCUAAUUUCGGCUCCCAUUUUCCAUCCUCACCCGCUGCUUCCUGUUGCACUGGUGUCAAGAUUUGGUUGGAAUCGCUCCUGACUGGGAUCCCAAACCCCCUUCCCCACUCAGGCAGAUCCCAGGAAUAUCAACACUCUCCACUCCAGCACUCCCACAUUCCCAAAAAACGCCAGAGCCCGUUCUCCCAGAAUUUAUCCACCGAACACAACCCUGACCCCGCUGCAUGACUCCGGGGCCGGGGCCGUGUUUGGGGUUUUUAGCGGUGUUUGUUUUGGGCGGCCCUGCCCCGGCGCUGACCCCGGCGCCGUCACGCGCUCCUGGCACACGUGUGGCCCCCGGCUCCUCCAUGCCGCGCUAUUCCUGGCUGCCGAGCGGGAAUUGGCCGGGAUUAGCUCCUGACCGCCGGCAGCUGACGCCCGACGGGAGCCUGAGCUCCGCCAUCAUCCUGCGCCACCUUCCUCCUCCUUUUCCUCCCUUCCCUCCUUUUCCCUCCUCGUUCUCCUCUCUGCAGCCCCACUGGGGCUCAGAUCCCGGAUCCCAAUCCCUGCCCGAUCCCGCGGGUUUCGUAACGGCGGCUCCGUGACCUUUCUGCCUCUGCCCGCGCCGAGCGGGGAUGGAUUCAUCCCUCGGCCGCCAUUCCAGCUCAUCCAACCACUCCCAACCUCCGCCACGGCCUUUGGGAAUGCGGCUCCAGCCACCAGCGCGGUGGGAAUUGUCCCUGACCCUCAGCUGGGAGCACAGCCCAAUUCCCGCUGCCGAGCCAAAAUUCCCGCUGGAAGCCAG
rnacentral:lncRNA from 12 species